GAUGAAGAACGUAGCGAAAUGCGAUAAGUAAUGUGAAUUGCAGAAUUCAGUGAAUCAUCGAAUCUUUGAACGCACAUUGCGCCCCUUGGUAUUCCGAGGGGCAUGCCUGUUCGAGCGUCAUUAUAACCCCUCAAGCUCAGCUUGGUGUUGGGGCCUGCUGCACUGGCAGCCCUUAAAAUCAGUGGCGGCGCCAUCUGGCUCUAAGCGUAGUAAUUCUUCUCGCUAUGGAGUCCUGGUGGAUGCUUGCCAUCAACCCCCAAUUUUUCUAUGGAUGACCUCGGAUCAGGUAGGGAUACCCGCUGAACUUAAGCAUAUCAAUAAGCGGAGGA
rnacentral:misc_RNA from 1 species